AGUUUCAUAGUUUAAAAAUUGAAAAUAUCAGGCUGCAAUUCUGAAGAUACAUUUAAUGUUGAGGCUU
rnacentral:tRNA from 1 species